rnacentral:tRNA from 1 species
GCCCAGCUAGCUCAGUCGGUAGAGCAUGGUACUCUUAAUCUCAGGGUGGUGGAUUUGUGCCCCACGUUGGGCG